rnacentral:tRNA from 1 species
UGGCCGAUAGGGGAAUUGGCAGACCCGCCGGGCUUUGACCCCGGAGUUUUCCAGGUUCGAGCCCUGGGCGGCCAG